rnacentral:rRNA from 1 species
UACGUAGGUGGCAAGCGUUGUCCGGAUUUACUGGGCGUAAAGAGCGCGCAGGCGGUCGUUCAAGUCGCGUGUGAAAGCCCCCGGCUCAACUGGGGAGGGUCACGCGAUACUGAUCGACUCGAAGGCAGGAGAGGGAAGUGGAAUUCCAAGUGUAGCGGUGAAAUGCGUAGAGAUUUGGAGGAACACCAGUGGCGAAGGCGACUCUUUGGUCUGUAACUGACGCUGAGGCGCGAAGGUCAGGGGAGCAAACGGG